UGCAUAAUCAUAUAAACCCAAAUAAAGAUUUUGUGCUUAUAUAUAUAUAUCUUUGCUUAGUUUGCUGAAUAAAUAAAUAAAUAAAGUUUGCUAUGAAUCCUCAUGAUAUGCUCUCACAUGGAAAAUGAUGAAUAGUUGCUCUGCCAUGACUUGUUCUCAAAAUUGAAAUCUCUUUCAAGUUUAGGCAUGACUGUUAUUAAUUAAGAUUUGCUCUAAACCUGAACUUGUGGGAAGAGUACUUGAUCUAAAGUCUAAGUUGCUAACGGAUAUGAUAUGGGAAGGUUGAGUUGCUGUUUAUCUGUUCCUAGAUAUGCUAGAAUUCUGGAGAAUUUUAUCUUUGAAAAUCUUUAAAAUAUUGCAUGAUGAGUUCCUGUAUGAUGAGAGUUUAAAUUCCUACCACAGCCAUAUAUACAUGCUUGCUAGACUUUGAGCCACACAUUUACUUUUUUACUGCUUAUGAGCAUUGAGUGUGGUCAAGCUGUGUAGACCCUUAGGAGUUUGUCAUGUGGUUAAAUCAAGAUUCACUUGCACGUUCACUCAUACAUGCUACUUCUACUUCGGAAGUACGCAUCCACAUAUAUUCACCCAUUUCCAUCUCCAGAACCACCCAACAAUAUUCUACUCCUAAUCCGGGAGAGAAUAGCCAAAAACAUUUAUGUUUUUCCCCUGUGAAAUAAAUGCUCAAGUUAUCUUGUUGCUACCACUUGCUAUAUUAUCUCAUGAGAUGAGUGCUCUAAAAAAAGAAAAAAAAGAGAAGAAAAAUAAAUACGAGGAAAUAAAAAAGGGGCAAGUGCCCGGAACCUCGAAAGAAAAGAAAAAAAGUGAGACGAGAGGUAAAAAUGGACAAGUGUCCGACAGUAGAAUUAGGGGUACAAGAUACCCACCUGAGAGGAAAGAAAAAGAAAAUACAGAGCAUCUCAUUCUCCCCAAAAGUUUCAAAAGAGCAAGGAAGGUAUGUAUCCCCUUAAAAGAGCAUAAGUAGAAUUAGACUUCCACCAUUGUUAUCACCAUCAUUACCAUGCACCAUUCAUUCGCCACACAUGCACAUCUUGAUUUGACUUAUUGACUUGUUCUUCUGGAUCCAUGGUUUGACUAUGCAAUAAAUGUCUUGUAAGUAUAUAUUAGCUGUCUCCCACCUAUGAGCUCCAGAUAUCAAAAGCCUUAUUAGAGUAGGGUGAGAGAGAAGGCAAUGUCACUAUGCCUCAUACCAAAAAUACCACAUACUUUGAGAGAAGGCAUAUACCAUUACUGCCUUGGUAAGGAUCCAGAAAUACCACAAAAGAGAGACUAGAGAGAGUCAUACAAGGAAUCUCUGAGUUUUAUUUGAAAAUCUGCAAAAACUCUAGAGCUAUAGUUAAUCGAAGAACAAGAGACAUGGUGCUUGACUAGACUGUUCUAUCUUUUAACUACUCAAGACAGAAGUGACGGUUACAAGUCCCAUGGUGAAAGGUAAAUGAGUAAGUUUUAAGUCUUAACAGUUUACUCUAACCAGAGAUGAGAUCUUGUUUAAACGCAUGUGUAUCUUUAAGUUAUGAAACCACUGUAGAAACUCUUGAGUUCAUCUUUGCUCAGGGACGAGCAAAGGUUAAGCUUGGGGGAGCUUGUUGACGGUCCUUAAUGCUCACAUUUAACCAUCAACUAAUCAUAGAAAAGGAUCCAAAUGCAACCAACACCUAGACUUAGAGUUUUAUCUGACAGAAUUCCAUGAGUUUUGGUGUUUGUCUAUUUCUGCAGGGGGUUAUCAGGAAAUACGGAAGAAAGGCCCACACGUCGGGUUUACAUAUAGAUAUUAACGUGCCACGCAAUUUUCUAUCAUCUAGAAGACUCCAGAAGCCACGGGACCGAAGCGGAGGCCGAGAGGACACAGGGACAGGGCGCCCGCCCUCCUUUCCUGGGCGCCCGCCCUCAGCCAGAGUCCAAUCAGGACUCUCUUUCGGGAUAUUGCUCCACCGACCUAAAGGAUCAACAAUAACGGUUCAAUCAAUAUCGGUUUGAUCCGACGGCCCAGAUUCACUUGAAGGGACUAUAAAACCAGACCCCCUGGCCCAUGGAGAUCAUACCUCUUCUACAUAAUCAAAGUUAGGGAUUCAAUUCUUCAUCCAAGUAGAGAGGAUCCCUCUAGUUCUUCUAGUUCUACCUCUAGUUCAUCUAGAUCUAGUUCUAGUUCAUCUAGUUCUAGUUCUAGUUCUUCUAGUUUUAGUUCUAGUUAGUUCUAGUUGUAAUCUAGAAAAUAGGGAGAGAGGAGAGGAGAGCGGAGGAGGAGCCGGAUCUGUCGGAUCUUCCUCAACAUUGUACUUUUGCAGCAUCUGGUUCGUUCUUCAUCGUUCUCCAGGUUCUUCAACUCAUAAUUCCUGAGUUCUCUAAUUACUUUUAUUUACAUUCAAGUUAUUUAUUGGAUUCCCGCUUGCAUCAAGUGCUCUAAUCUUUGAAACAUUAGAGUAGUAAUUAAUAGAUUAGACGUGGUGUUUAGUCUUGCAAUUACCUAGAAUUGCACCCAAUCCUGCGGAUUGUUGUGGUAGCCUUAGGGUAGUGACAGCCCUAACGGUCGACGUAUUCCACCACGUUCGGAUCGGUGUUUGUAGGACCGUAGUCAGACCUUCCUAGCCCCCUUCUCAUCUCUUUCUGUGGUUAGUGCUCUGAUGUCCCGAUAUAGAUAAUCUUGAAGUAAUUCUUGAUUCUUAGAUCAACUAGAGAACUCUCAGGAAACUUCCUCUCUUCCCACCAAAAAUAAUUAUAUAGUUAUCCUUGGGCGAUCUUGGAUCUUAAUUAGUAUACUCACGUUCUCUGUGGAAAAUCGAUACUCUGGAAUACUCCCGGGCGAAAGCUACAUCGGUAUCCGUGCGCUUGCGGAUUUUUCUGUUUGCGUUUAAAAUACCCAACACAAGCAUUUUUGGCGCCAUUGCCGGGGAAGGAUGAUUACUAAUCAGGAAUGGAAUAAAAGAUUUUGAGUUAUCAUUCGCAUCACUAAUAUGAUUGAGCUUAUCUAUUCUCUCAUACAGUUUUACCCCGAUAUUUUCCUAUUUCAUCUUAUGCAGGGGAAUGUAUGAAUAGAAGACAUCUUCUAGGAAAUUUUGUUGACAAUCCCGAAGCAUUAUUCAAGAAGACGAGAGCCAAGCUCAAGAAGAAAUCAUCAACACUUCAGCAAGAAACUUCAUCCAAUCAAGAAGAUCACCGGAACUUGUCUUCAGAGUUCGAAGCCAUGGCGAACAAAUCAAUCCGCGAGUUCUCAGCUCCCACUACGGACAACAUCCGUACCGGACCUGCUGCAGAGAUCGAUGGCAACUUUGAGCUCAAGCCUGGACUUAUCAACAUGGUGCAAUCCAACCAGUUCUGUGGGAAGGCACACGAAGAUGCUAGUGCUCAUUUACAACACUUCCUGGAGAUUUGCAACACAUUCACCAUAUCAGGAGUUUCCAAAGAUGCUAUACUACUUCGCCUCUUCCCAUUCUCACUGUUAGGAAGAGCGAAGCAGUGGUUCUACGCUACAAAGGAGAAUAAUACUACGUGGGCACUCUGCUCAACAAACUUUCUGGCAAAGUUCUUUCCCAUGUGCAAGACCAAUGCUCUCCGUGGGAAGAUUACAAGUUUUCAGCAACAAAAUGAUGAAUCUGUUCCAGAAGCAUGGGAGCGCUUUCAAGACUACACCCUAGAAUGUCCCCAUCAUGGAAUGGAGAGUUGGCUAUUGAUGCAGACAUUUUAUCAUGGGCUCGGCAACAGUGCCCGAGAGACCAUGGAAGCUGCAGCUGGAGGAGCAUUCUUAUCACUUACUAUACCACAAGCCACAGCUCUUGUGGAGAAGAUGGCGUCCAAUCAAAGCUGGAAUGAAGAGAGGACCCAGACACGCAAGAGAGGUGGAGGUAUGCAUCAGCUGAAGGAGGUAGACAUGCUGUCUGCAAAGCUAGACCUGCUCAUGAAGAAGCUCGACGAUAAAGCUGGAGACAAGAAAGAAGUUAUGCACAUCUACGACUCUCACAUGACUUGUGAGGAGUGUGGAGACACUGGACACUCAGGCAACCACUGCCCUGAGAUACUUGAGGAUGUGAACUAUAUCAACAACAACAAUAACAACUACUACAACCGUCCUCAACAAAAUCAAGGUUGGAAUCAACAGAGGCCUAACUACUUAGGUAAUUAUCAAGGUAACAAUUCUUACAACAAUAAUAAUAAUUUUCCACCUUUGAGAGAGUUAGUGUCUAAUCAAGGAAAGCUAAUAGAUAACCUAUCUAAAAAAUUGGCAUCAAAUGAUAAAAUGCUAGAAAAUAUAAAUAAUAGAAUGGAUAAUUUCUCUACCGCCAUCAAGAAUCAAAUUAGCUUUAAUAAAAUGAUUGAAUCUCAGUUAAAUCAAAUAGCUGCUGCUGUUCCUACUACUAACCCCGAUAUACCAUCACAACCGGAAGGAUUAGAAUCUGCAAAUCUUGUAGACAAAUUUGAUGCAGGUAAUUGGAGUAACCCCGUCAAUGAAUUCUCUACUGACCUUCUGCCGGUCAAGAGAGGCGAUCCAGGACGCCCCGUCAUCCCGAUCUCCAUCGGCAUGGUGGACGUUCCAGAAGCACUCUGCGACUUUGGCUCCAGUGUCAACAUUAUACCCAGGGUACUCUAUGAAAAAUUCUUUACAUAUCCUUUAUUAGAGACAACCAUGUGUUUGCAGUUUGCAGAUCAGACGAUAACUUGUCCAAAAGGAAUAGUGAAGAACCUUUGUGUCCGAGUUGGUACCUUGUAUGCCCCAGCAGACUUCGUAGUGGUAGAGACCGAAAAUGAUGAGAGAGCACCUAUCAUCUUAGGGAGGCCAUUCUUGAACACCACGGAAGCUAUCAUCUACGCCAGUGCUACUAAGAUCAGUUUUUACGUCAAAGGGAGGAAGGAGACAUUUUUCUUCAAGAACGAGACUACACAAAUUCCAGAUCAAUCCAGACGUGAAUCAAGGAAGAGGACCAACAGGAGGAACAGGAACAAGCAAGUGUGGACCGAGUCAGCUAAGAUGGUCACUGUAGUUCAUGGAGGCCAAGAUCAUCAACUUAAGUCACCGUUUUUGACCAAGAAGGACGACCCAGGAAUGCCAAGCAUUUACUGCUCCAUAAAUGGAUACAACUUCUACAAGACAUUUUGUGACACCGGAUCGGGCGUUAACAUAAUGGCCGCAGUCACCUAUCGGCUCUUGUUCGGAACCAUGCCCCUAAGACCAACAUACAUUCAACUCCAGAUGGCAGAUCAGACAUUUCGAGAAGUUAAAGGAAUAGUAACUGAUGUCCCAGUCAAAAUAGACGAUCACUUUGUCUACACAUACUUUCAAGUUAUUGACAUGGGAGAAGACGAGUACGAUCUAUCCAUCAUCCUUGGAAGACCGUUCCUCAGCACCGUUAAAGCAAUUAUCUACAUUGGAACCGGAGAAGUCCAUAUGCACUUCCCCUCAGAGAAGGUACGCCGUUAUUUUACUGACCCUAACUAUAUCGUUGAAGAAUCUAAGCAGGUCAGAAAAAGACGCAACCGCAACCAGAGGAGGCAAAUCAUCAAGGACGGAUGGGCAGACUACGAAGGAGAAGUUGUAAGGUCAGAAGACGUAAAGUUUAAACAGAAUUAUCUAGAGGAGACCGAAGCACCAAGUCAGGUAUGGAAAAUGAAGAUAACUAUACAUGAAGAGGAGGCGCCGCCGGAAGUACCGACUACGCCACCCAACGAACCUCAGGACGAUUGAAAAAAUGGAGAGUCCCGUUCGGAGGACUUAAAAACACCGAACGCCUUGCCGAGAGGUAAACUUGAUAGUUAUCCUUUCUCUUUUAAUUAUUUCAAAUAGUUUACUUAGUUAAUCAAGUUCAUACUAUCUUAAAAAGAAAAUAAAAAUAUGAAAAACAGUAAGCCCCAUGUGAGUAUACGAGUGGCAUAAAAUCCAUAAGUACAUUCACUAUGGUGGCAUAAAAAUAAAAUAAAUAUUUUUCUGCUUUAUAAAAUGAAAAUAUAAAAAAAACAGGGAGUAAUAAUUAUUAAGGAGUCUCAAGAUGAUAAAGGCUAGAUAUUUAUGCUAACACUUAAUCAGUUCCACAAGCUUUGUUGUCUAUUUGAGCUCCACAGAAUUUAAGAGUCAAGAAGACUAGUAGACGGAGGACAUUCUAAUCGCUGUCAGAAUGCUGCUGACUUUCAAAUACACCUGUGCCACCUGCUAGCUACAUCAAGAGAAAUUACGUCAAAAUUCAGCUUGGGGGAGAGCACCCCCAUUUAUCUCGAUAAGUAUUUCUAUCUAUCUAUCUUUACACUCAUAUUAUUUUAGAAUAUAAAUAUACAUAACUAUGAAAAAACCAAAUAAAGAUUUUAUGCUUAUUUAUAUAUCUUUUGCUUAGUGUGUUUAAUAAAAUAAAGUGGCUAUGCUAAUCUGUAUCUUAAUAAUAAAACUUAAGCAUGGAUAUGAUGAAUAGUUGCUCUACCUAAUUUGCAUAUUUUAAGUUCUCUCUGAAGUUUAGAUAUAACUGUUAUAAUUUAAAGCUUGCUCUAGACCUAAACUUGUAGGAUGAAAACUUGAUCUGAAGUCUAAGUUGUUAACGGAUACGAUAUGGGAAGGUUGAGCUGCUGUUUAUCUGUUCCUAGAGAUGCUAGAAUUCAGGAGAAUUUUAUCUUUGAAAACUUUAAAAUGUUGCAUGAUGAGUUCCUGUAUGAUGAGAGUUUAAAUUCCUACCACAGCCAUAUAUACAUGCUUGCUAGACUUUGAGCCACACAUUUACUUUUUACUGCUUAUAAGCAUUGAGUGUGGUCAAGCUGUGUAGACCCUUAGGAACUUGUCAUGUGGUUAAAUCAAGAUUUCACUUGCACGUUCACUCAUAUAUGCUACUUCUACUCCGGAAGUACCAUCCACAUAUAUCCACCUAUUCCAUCUCCAGAAUCACCCAAAAAUAUUCUACUCCUAACCCGGGAGAGAAUAACCAAAAAUAUUUCUGUUUUCUCUUGUGGAAUAAAUGCUCAAGUUAUCUUGUUACUACCACUUGCUAUAUUAUCCCAUGAGAUGAGUGCUCUAAAAAAAGAGAAAAUAAAAAAAUACGAGGAAAUAAAAAAGAGCAAGUGCUCGGAACCUCGAAAUAAAAGAAAAAGUGAGACGAGAGGUAAAAAUGGACAAGUGUCCGACAGUAGAAUUAGGGGUGCAAGAUACCCACCUGAGAGAAAAGAAAAAGAAGAGCAUCUCAUUCUCCUCAUAAAGUUUCAAAAAGCAAGGAAGGUAUGUAUCCCCUCAAAGAGCAAAGUAGAAUUAGACUUCCACCACCAUUGUUUUCACCAUUGUUAUCACCAUCAUCACCAUACACCAUUCAUUCACCACACAUGCACAUCUUGAUUAAACUUAUUGAUUUGUUUCUUUAGAUCCAUGGUUUGACUACGCAAUACAUGUCUUGUAAGUAUGUAUACUUUAUUUCCCACCUAUGAGCUCCAGAUAUUAAAGCCUUAUUAGAGUAGGGUCAGAGAGAAGGCAAUGUCACUAUGCUUUAUACCACAAAUACUCCAUAUCUUGAGAGAACGCAUAUACCAUCACUGCCUUGGUAAGGAUCCAGAAAUACCACAAAAGAGAGAUCUGAGAGAAUCAUACAAGGAAUCUCUGAGUUUUAUUUGAAAAUCUGCAAAAACCCCAGAGCUAUAGCUGAUCAAGAAUAAGAGACAUGGCACUUGACUAGACUAUUCUAUCUUUUAACCUCUCAAGACAGAAGUGACGGUUACAAG
rnacentral:lncRNA from 1 species